rnacentral:rRNA from 1 species
GACGAACGCUGGCGGCGUGCUUAACACAUGCAAGUCGAACGGAAAGGCCCUGCUCUUGCGGGGUGCACGUGUGGCGAACGGGUGAGUAUAACGCGAGUAACCCGCCCCUGUCAUUGGGAUAACACCAGGAAACUGGGGCUAAUACCGGAGAGGAGCUCUUGCAGCACGGUGGGGGAUGGAAAGAUUCGGCGGUGGGGGAUGGACUCGCGGCUUAUCAGCUUGUUGGUGGGGUAGGGGCUUCCCAAGGCUUUGACGGGUAGCCGGCCUGAGAGGGUGACCAGCCACCUUGGUCCUGCGGUACGGACCAGACUCCUACGUGACGCAGCGGGCGAGAAUCUUGCGCAGCAGGCCGAAGCCUGUUACGGCAACGCUGCGUGCGGGAUGACGUCCUACGAGUUGAAAACCACUUUGGCCUGUGACGAAGAGUGAGUGACGGUACUGGAUAAAGAAGCACCGGCUAACUACGUG